CACUGAAUGUCACUAAACGCGCCAGCCACUCGCAUUGCGUGCGAAUGUUACACACACUCUCAAACAGCCAGUCUCUGUGAGAACAAGAAAGAGCGAG